rnacentral:rRNA from 1 species
CAUGCAAGUCGAACGGAGAAAAGAGGAGUUUACUUUUCUUUUCUUAGUGGCGGACGGGUGAGUAACACGUGAAGAACCUGCCUUACAGAGGGGGACAACAGCUGGAAACGGCUGCUAAUACCGCAUAACGCUAGAGUGUGGCAUCACAUUUUAGCCAAAAGAGCAAUCUGCUGUAAGAUGGCUUCGCGUCCGAUUAGACAGUUGGCGGGGUAACGGCCCACCAAAUCUACGAUCGGUAGCCGGACUGAGAGGUUGAACGGCCACAUUGGGACUGAGACACGGCCCAGACUCCUACGGGAGGCAGCAGUGGGGGAUAUUGCACAAUGGAGGGAACUCUGAUGCAGCGACGCCGCGUGAGGGAAGAAGGUCUUCGGAUUGUAAACCUCUGUCUUCGGUGACGAAAAUGACGGUAGCCGAGGAGGAAGCCACGGCUAACUACGUGCCAGCAGCCGCGGUAAUACGUAGGUGGCAAGUGUUGUCCGGAAUUACUGGGUGUAAAGGGAGCGUAGGCGGGAAGGCAAGUUGAUUGUCUAAACUAUCGGCUCAACUGAUAGUCGCGAUCAAAACUACUUUUCUUGAGUGAAGUAGAGGUAAGCGGAAUUCCUAGUGUAGCGGUGAAAUGCGUAAAUAUUAGGAGGAACACCAGUGGCGAAGGCGGCUUACUGGGCUUUAACUGACGCUGAGGCUCGAAAGCGUGGGUAGCAAACAGGAUUAGAUACCCUGGUAGUCCACGCUGUAAACGAUGAUUACUAGGUGUGGGGGGACUGACCCCUUCCGUGCCGGAGUUAACACAAUAAGUAAUCCACCUGGGG